AGAGUUUGAUCCUGGCUCAGGAUGAACGCUGGCGGCAUGCCUAAUACAUGCAAGUCGAACGAAGUUUCGAGGAAGCUUGCUUCCAAAGAGACUUAGUGGCGAACGGGUGAGUAACACGUAGGUAACCUGCCCAUGUGUCCGGGAUAACUGCUGGAAACGGUAGCUAAAACCGGAUAGGUAUACAGAGCGCAUGCUCAGUAUAUUAAAGCGCCCUUCAAGGCGUGAACAUGGAUGGACCUGCGGCGCAUUAGCUAGUUGGUGAGGUAACGGCCCACCAAGGCGAUGAUGCGUAGCCGGCCUGAGAGGGUAAACGGCCACAUUGGGACUGAGACACGGCCCAAACUCCUACGGGAGGCAGCAGUAGGGAAUUUUCGUCAAUGGGGGAAACCCUGAACGAGCAAUGCCGCGUGAGUGAAGAAGGUCUUCGGAUCGUAAAGCUCUGUUGUAAGUGAAGAACGGCUCAUAGAGGAAAUGCUAUGGGAGUGACGGUAGCUUACCAGAAAGCCACGGCUAACUACGUGCCAGCAGCCGCGGUAAUACGUAGGUGGCAAGCGUUAUCCGGAAUCAUUGGGCGUAAAGGGUGCGUAGGUGGCGUACUAAGUCUGUAGUAAAAGGCAAUGGCUCAACCAUUGUAAGCUAUGGAAACUGGUAUGCUGGAGUGCAGAAGAGGGCGAUGGAAUUCCAUGUGUAGCGGUAAAAUGCGUAGAUAUAUGGAGGAACACCAGUGGCGAAGGCGGUCGCCUGGUCUGUAACUGACACUGAGGCACGAAAGCGUGGGGAGCAAAUAGGAUUAGAUACCCUAGUAGUCCACGCCGUAAACGAUGAGAACUAAGUGUUGGAGGAAUUCAGUGCUGCAGUUAACGCAAUAAGUUCUCCGCCUGGGGAGUAUGCACGCAAGUGUGAAACUCAAAGGAAUUGACGGGGGCCCGCACAAGCGGUGGAGUAUGUGGUUUAAUUCGAAGCAACGCGAAGAACCUUACCAGGGCUUGACAUCCCACUAACGAGGCAGAGAUGCGUUAGGUGCCCUUCGGGGAAAGUGGAGACAGGUGGUGCAUGGUUGUCGUCAGCUCGUGUCGUGAGAUGUUGGGUUAAGUCCCGCAACGAGCGCAACCCUUGUCGCAUGUUACCAGCAUCAAGUUGGGGACUCAUGCGAGACUGCCGGUGACAAACCGGAGGAAGGUGGGGAUGACGUCAAAUCAUCAUGCCCCUUAUGGCCUGGGCUACACACGUACUACAAUGGCGACCACAAAGAGCAGCGACACAGUGAUGUGAAGCGAAUCUCAUAAAGGUCGUCUCAGUUCGGAUUGAAGUCUGCAACUCGACUUCAUGAAGUCGGAAUCGCUAGUAAUCGCAGAUCAGCAUGCUGCGGUGAAUACGUUCUCGGGCCUUGUACACACCGCCCGUCAAACCAUGGGAGUCAGUAAUACCCGAAGCCGGUGGCAUAACCGUAAGGAGUGAGCCGUCGAAGGUAGGACCGAUGACUGGGGUUAAGUCGUAACAAGGUAUCCCUACGGGAACGUGGGGAUG
rnacentral:rRNA from 1 species